rnacentral:rRNA from 1 species
GAUGAACGCUAGCGGCAGGCUUAAUACAUGCAAGUCGUGGGGCAGCAUGAGUAGCAAUACUUGAUGGCGACCGGCAAACGGGUGAGGAACACGUACACAACCUUCCUUCAAGCGGGGAAUAGCCCAGAGAAAUUUGGAUUAAUACCCCAUAAUAUAUUUGAUAAGGCAUCUUAUUAAAUAUUAAAGCUUCGGCACUUGAUGAUGGGUGUGCGGCUGAUUAGAUAGUUGGCGGGGUAACGGCCCACCAAGUCUACGAUCAGUAGCUGAUGUGAGAGCAUGAUCAGCCACACGGGCACUGAGACACGGGCCCGACUCCUACGGGAGGCAGCAGUAAGGAAUAUUGGACAAUGGACGAAAGUACUGAUCCAGCCAUGCCGCGUGAAGGAUUAAGGUCCUCUGGAUUGUAAACUUC